AAGUCGUAACAAGGUCUCCGUUGGUGAACCAGCGGAGGGAUCAUUACCGAGUUUCCAACUCACAACCCACUGCGAACAUACCUACGUUGCUUCGGCGGUCCCCCGGCUCCGGCCGGCGCCGCCGAGGAACCCCAAACUCUUGUUUUUCCAUGUGUAAUUCUGAGUAACUUGAAAUAAAUCAAAACCUUCAACAACGGAUCUCUUGGCUCUGGCAUCGAUGAAGAACGCAGCGAAAUGCGAAAAGUAAUGUGAAUUGCAGAAUUCAGUGAACCAUCGAAUCUUUGAACGCACAUUGCGCCCGCUGGUACUCCGGCGGGCACGCCUGUCCGAGCGUCAUUUCAACCCUCAGACCCCGCCCUCACGGGCGCGGGGCUGGUGUUGGGGCCCGGCCGCCACCCCGGCGGCCGUCCCCUAAAUUCAGUGGCGGUCACGCCGCGAUCCCCUGCGUAGUAACACACCUCGCACCGGAGAGCGACGCGGUCCACGCCGUGAAACCCCCAAUUUUCAAUGGUUGACCUCGGAUCAAUGGGAAUACCCGCUGAACUUAA
rnacentral:rRNA from 1 species